CGGCGAACGGGUGAGUAACGCGUAGGAAUCUGCCUGGUAGAGGGGGAUAGCUCGGGGAAACUCGAAUUAAUACCGCAUACGCCCUACGGGGGAAAGCAGGGGAUCUUCGGACCUUGCACUAUCAGAUGAGCCUGCGUCGGAUUAGCUAGUUGGUGGGGUAAAGGCCCACCAAGGCGACGAUCCGUAACUGGUCUGAGAGGAUGAUCAGUCACACCGGAGCUGAGACACGGUCCGG
rnacentral:rRNA from 1 species